GCUAUAACUACUCCAAGCUAUAAUUCUACAAUUUCUGAUACGUGCGAUAGGCUGAUUCGUUGAAAUACCUCUGCAUUUACCGUUGAAGUGGGAGUUUUAGGUUACCCGCUUUAUCAAGGGUCAGGUAAAACAUUGAACAUUUCAAUCAUGAAAUGCAAGACAGUUUGCUUGUUUCUCGUGUUGUGCCUGUUAAGUGCCAAAGCAACUUCUGAAACUGAUGGGGACAAUGAAGAAGUUGUGCCUCUGGCUGAUUUUGAAGAAGAACCUCAGCCUGAAGUGGAUGAGGAAUCAAUGGAAUAUGCCAAAGGGUUCAGUGUGUGGAUACUGCACCUAUUGUAAGUUUUGCAAGCUCUGUGAAGACUGUCCGUGUGAGGGGAG